UUUUGCUAAACAGCCCUGAACAGUUUCCAAUGCAUUGUCAAUGUGGCUUGUAAACCAACCCGAAUGUAAUAUAAUUCUGGGCACAUGUUGACUCAUUGGCGCUUCUCCAUGCAGCACGUGGGAGGGGAGAGGGACGCACAUUCUGUAAACAGGAAUAGGUGAUUCACUGGUCACUGAGCUGGCAAGCUAAAGUUAGCUAGUUAGUCACAGAAAUGUACGUUCAGCCUGUUAAUGAUUUCAGUCCGAUUUGAUUUAUCUUACGAAGUCAGCAUGGCAUAGUUUCUUUCGUUUUUGACCUUGACAUAGUUGCUGGAUAUAUAUACUUUCAUUUCUGACAUGCUAACGACGCCAGCUGACCUCAUAUCUGGAUGCCUCACUCUAGUCCCUGAGAGAGCAGCAUACUGGUAAGUCAACUUUGCUUUCAAACUUUGUAAUUAUCUGUAAAGUUGUUUUACAUGCAAUCUUACAAGCUAGAUAUAUAUUUUGUUUAAAAGCCUGUUGUCAUUCAUUCGUUCUUUCUUUGGAGCUAGCUAUGCUAUCACUAGCUAGCUAGGUGGGUAAUAAUGUGAUGUACAGUAAAUUAAGCUACACUAACGUUACAGUAUUAACGUUACUGAAUGACAACAAUAUAGCCUUGUCACUACUAUUUGGCAAGUUGGUUGAUUAUGGGGUGCAGUAGUAGGCUAGCGUCGUUGUUAUUCGUUGGUUCCCUUGACAAAACGUUAUUUAUGACUUGUUAAAAUAAGCUAAUGGUUGUGUGCACUCUCACUAGACAGAAUUGCGUGAUUUGUUGGCAGAUUUUCAAAAGAAAAUAGACAUGCAGUAUAUCAGUGUUAAAGGAAUUUCAUUCCUAUAUGUUCAUCAACCAAUUCAAUUAAAACACUCUGCCCAUUUCUAAGAAUUUGUAAGAAACGUAUUUGCAUAAAAUAGACAGAGACCAGUCUCAAAAUCAACCAAUAGCGUUUAUUCUCGGGAGUACUCAUCAUAGUACAAUUUACAUCAGGUUAUACACUAAAAAUGACGCCAUAGGUUUUAAAAGGUCCUUCCUCCACUCUGAUACAAUGGCAGUAUAGUUCACAAGCCUUCACACAUUGUCUACCACCUGUUAAAUAAUCUACUACUAGCCCAAGGUCUCUCCCCUCCCUGGGUAGAGACAGGAUGUCCUGGAAGGAACACAGCAUUCCAGCCAGUCUGGUAAUAGCUCCAUUCGUUUCCAACAAGGAACAGAAAGCCCUUCUAAUUCUUGACGAAAACUACACACAUUACAUUCAGUAUUAUAAUAAGAUUCAUACAUCCAUACAGUAACAUAGUAGUAUUCUGUUUUAGUAGUAUUCUGAUUUAAAUAUAUACAUAAUUUAGUCAUUAUUCAUAAAAAUCCCUUAACAAUCAGCUAUUCUCAAUCAGAUGAGAUACACAGCUAACUCCUAUUGAAUUUAAUUCAUUCAUAAAUGUGGACACUAAUUAUUGUUAAUAUUCCAAUUCUCUAGGCCCUCCAUUCCCAAACCUGAAGCCCCCUGUCCCCAGCAGGAAAGACCAGGAAAAAGUGUUGGCUUAAGAUCUUCCAACCUGAUCGGUGGUUGACUGGUAACCGUCUUUCCACCAAGCUGUUCCAGGCUUGGAGUGGCACGCUGGAACUUCCAGAUGCUUGUAGACCUGAAGCAGUGUGAUGUAUUCCAGAUCUGCCAUGCUCAGCAGUUCAGCUGCAGACACAGCAGUCCGCUGGUGUGGUAUUUAGUUUACCAGCUGCACCAGUUCCUACUACACUGGCCGUGAAGGGAGAAACUUUUAAAGAUUACCAGAUGGAUACAGAUCUGCCAUGCUCUCCACCACUGCCUGACAGCUUCACCCAGAAGUGCAUACACUGGGCCUAUCAAGACUGACAAAGCAGAGAUGGGUGGCUGACAAGGAAAAAUAAAAAAACAUGCACACAUUAUCCACAAUGUAAAUAAGUUGUAAUUACUUGUUUAUUUAAUAUUUGCUGCCUUUUAUUUUAGGAUUGGAGAUAUCUACUCCUAUAUAUCCAUUAUCAAUAUCUGCUCUAAAUGCCUAUCAAAUCAAUGUGUGAUUGAAAAUAUUCUAAAAGACUUGUGUGUACAGUUUUAGGAAAUUCUGUGUACUUUUUUUCUGAUUUGAAAAACAUGCUUCCCUCUCUCACACACACACACACUAGACCCAAUGUAAAUAAAUUGUAAUAACUUGUUUAUUUUAUGUAUGCUACAUUUUGUUUGAGGAAAAUAUCUUCAAUAAAGUACAUUUACAGUUAAAG
ensembl:lncRNA